rnacentral:rRNA from 1 species
GACGAACGCUGGCGGCGUGCUUAACACAUGCAAGUCGAACGGAAAGGCCCAGCUUGCUGGGUGCUCGAGUGGCGAACGGGUGAGUAACACGUGGGUGAUCUGCCUCUAACUUCGGGAUAAGCUUGGGAAACUGGGUCUAAUACCGGAUAGGACAAUCGUUUAGUGUCGGUUGUGGAAAGUUUUUUCGGUUAGGGAUGAGCCCGCGGCCUAUCAGCUUGUUGGUGGGGUAAUGGCCUACCAAGGCGUCGACGGGUAGCCGGCCUGAGAGGGUGGACGGCCACAUUGGGACUGAGAGACGGACCAGACGGCUACGGGAGGCAGCGGUGGGGAAUAUUGCACAAUGGGGGCAAGCCUGAUGCAGCGACGCCGCGUGGGGGAUGACGGCCUUCGGGUUGUAAACAUCUUUCGACAGGGACGAAGCUUUGGUGACGGUACCUGUAUAAGAAGCACCGGCUAACUACGUG